rnacentral:rRNA from 1 species
UACGUAGGCAGCGAGCGUUGUUCGGAAUUACUGGGCGUAAAGAGUGUGUAGGCGGUGCUCUAAGUUCGGUGUGAAAUCUCCCGGCUUAACUGGGAGGGUGCGCCGGAAACUGGAGUGCUCGAACGUGGGAGAGGAAAGCGGAAUUCCCGGUGUAGCGGUGAAAUGCGUAGAUAUCGAGAGGAACACCUGCGGCGAAGGCGGGUUGCUGGGCUGACACUGACGCUGACAGCGCGAAAGCUAGGGGAGCGAACGGG